GAGUUCGACAUGACUGAUCUUGGGAGGAUGAGGUAUUUCUUGGGCAUUGAGGUGCAUCAGAAGGUGAAUGGAAUUCACAUAUCUCAAGCCAAGUACGCUCAGGAGAUUCUCAAACGGUUCGACAUGGAGGAUUGCAACUCAGUUACAAAUCCUAUGGUACCUGGAGAGAAGCUUGACAUGGACGCUGAAGGAGAAAGAAUAGACGAGACACUCUAUAAGCAAAUGAUUGGGAGUCUCAUGUACAUCACAACCACACGACCUGACCUGCAAUUCUCGGUGAACUUACUCAGUCGCUUCAUGUCAAAACCUACAAGACUCCACGCACAAGCUGUGAAGAAGGUACUGAGGUACUUAAAGGGGACAACAGACUUUGGUAUUUGGUACAAUGGAGGAGGAACAGGGGAGCUAUGUGUCUACACUGACAGCGACUUUGCUGGAGAUAUCGAUAGCAGAAAGAGUACCUCAGGGUAUGUUUUUCUUUUGGAUAAUGGGGCAGUUGCAUGGUGUUCUAAGAAGCAGCCAAUAGUUACUUUGUCCACGACUGAAGCCGAGUAUGUGGCGGCAUCAGUUUGCGCAUGUCAAGCUAUUUGGUUCAAAAGAGUUAUGAAGGAGUUGGGACAUGAGAUGAACGAGAGCACCAUUAUUCAAUGCGACAACACGUCAACAAUUAAGUUAUCUAAGAACCCUGUAUUUCAUGGGCGUUGCAAGCAUAUUGGUGUCAGGUUUCAUUUCUUACGUGAUCUGGUAAAUGAAGGAGAGAUAAGCUUGGAACAUUGCGGUACUGAAGAACAAGUUGCUGAUGUAUUCACAAAGGCAUUAAAGAGGGAAGUGUUCGAGAAGAUGAGAAGCAGACUUGGAGUCUGCUCAGUCAAGGAUAAGCUGAAUCUUGAAGACCAAGUUUAGCUUAGGGAGGGUUUGUUGGAGCAAAACUACCAUUUGAAGUUUGGAGCCGUUGGAGGUUUGAUUUAGUCUUUCACGUUUGUUAGUUGUUUCAAUAAUGUCCUAUUCUUUAGGACCAAGUAGUUUCCAGUUCUAGUGGUUUAGUUGCGUUAGUUGUUGCUUUAUUUCAGGAGCUCUUUAUUUCAUUGUAAUGCUACUUAUAGCUAUUGCUUUCAGUUGAAUACAAUCAGAGUUUCAUAAACACAAAACAGAGCAUUUGGGAUUACAAAUCUUUCAUGGGUUGGCUCUGUAAAUAAUCAAAUUUUUUUAUAAAAAAAUGCGUUGACAUGCGCAGACCUGCUGUACAAGGACCACAACAGCGACCAGAAAUUGAGUAUCACCACUCACUCUCCUGCCGGUGUUGUAAGUUUCUAUUCAACUACGCUUCCUUUUUAGCAGUUGCAUUCUUACUAAUGAUAAUAGAGUAUGAGCUCUUCUUUAAUAUAUGCGUGUCUGUGUUCUUACUCUUUUUUUGUUUUAUUGAUUAGCUUUAUUUCUUUACCUCUGUUACAAUCUUUAGGCCAUCACAUCAACUGGAACCAAGAAAGGUGAAUCACUCUUGGGAGAUGUAGCUUUCCAACUCACGCAAAAAAACAUCACCACCCAUUUCAAAGUUUCCACUGACAACACCGUAUGCCUUUUUCUACCAAAUACAUUCUUCCUUUUAGCUCAUCUGAGUAUCUUAACUAUUCUUCUAUUAUUUGUUUCAGGUUUUGAUCACUGCUACCGUUGAUGAGGCUGCCCCUGGAUUGAAGUCCAUCUUCAGCUUCAGGGCCCCUGACCAAAACUCCGGCAAGGUAGGCCUUUCUUCUUCUCUUUUCAACCCCAAUCCAUCUACACUUGUUCUAUUUUUGCUGAUCAUUCUUACUUUCUUUCAUACAGAUUGAGCUUCAGUAUUUACAUGACUACGCUGGUAUCAGCACCAGCAUGGGAUUGACUCAGAACCCCACUGUCAACUUCUCCGGUGUUAUUGGGAACAAUGCCUUGGCUGUUGGUACUGACGUUUCCUUGGACACCAAAUCCGGCAAUUUCACCAAGAUCAAUGCUGGCCUCAACUUCACCAAGGAUGAUUUAAUUGCUUCCCUUACCCUGUAAGUCAAUGAAUUCCUGUGGAUGAAAGAUGUGGUUCUUAUCAGUCUUGUUUGUUCAGGAACGACAAAGGAGAUUCCGUCAACGCCUCAUACUACCACAUUGUUAACCCGCUGUUCAACACUGCUGUUGGAGCUGAAGUGAACCACAAAUUCUCUACCAAGGUCAAUACGAUAACCGUGGGAACGCAGCAUUCGAUUGACCCCUUAACCAUAGUGAAAGCACGUGUGAACAGUGCGGGGAUAGCCAAUGCACUCAUUCAACACGAGUGGUCGCCCAAGUCCUUCUUCACAGUCUCUGGAGAAGUUGACACUAAGGCCAUCGACAAGAGUGCUAAGGUUGGAUUGGCUCUCUCUCUCAAGCCUUGAUAAUGAGCCAUCCCAAGUAGUAGUUUAUUUAUACUCCCUCUUGCUUGGUUUUAAUGGCGGGCUACUUGCUAAUCUUUUUUCCCCCAUUUUCUUGUUGGAUUUGUAGAAGAGAAUAAUAAUAAGGUUGACAGAAAAGAUGGUUUGUUUUGGUGAUAUGAUGAAGCACUAAACGAUCUUUAUGUUUCUUUACUAUGCACUGUGUUUCCUUCUACUCUGAUGUUACCCUUUUAACAUGUUUAAUCUUCUUUGUUGUUCGGCAUUUUAUUCGAUAUCUAUCAGUUUAGCUCUUCCUUUGAUGUUGUUUCUUUUACGAUUGAGUAAUGUGAUAGCUGAUUUGGUGGCAAAAUCAGCUCUCUCAUUGUUUAACUCCUCAUGGAGUGUAGACUCUCUUAUGUUAUGAAAUGAAGUGCGUUUGAUCAAAAAAAAAAAAAAAAGGGGAAUAACAAGAAGAUGGAGGUUGUUGGGAAAGGGAACACCAAACUGAUGUUGAACGGAGCAAACUACGUAAUAAGUGACGUGUAUUACGUACCAGAACUCAAAAAUAACCUCUUGAGUCUUGGACAGCUUCAAGAAAAACGGAUCACAAUCAUCAUUCAAAAAGGCUACUGCAAAAUCUAUCAUGAAGAGAGGGGUUUGAUAGCUGAGAGUAGGAUGAGCUCAAACCGUAUGUUUGCACUAGCUGAUCAAGGAAGAGGUGAUUCAAACUCAAGUGAACAGAGGUGCCUGAAGACAACUUCUGAAGAUGUGCCAAAAUUAUGGCAUGAGCGUUAUGGCCACUUAAGUCACCGAGGAAUUAAAGCACUACAGAGCAAAGGCAUGGUGAGGGGUCUACCAGACUUUGGGGUUCAGAGCUUUACGUGUCCAGACUGUCUGGUGGGGAAGCAACCAAGAAAGGCCAUACCGAAGAAGAGUACAUGGAGAGCAAAAGAGGCAUUGGAACUAAUCCACUCGGAUAUCUGUGGUCCAAUCAAUCCCACUUCCAACAGUGGAAUGAGGUACAUUCUAUGUUUCAUAGACGACUAUAGCAGAAAGGGUUGGGUGUAUCUACUGAAGAAUAAGUCUGAUGCCUUCACUGAGUUCAAAACGUUCAAGAAGAUGGUAGAAACUGAGACCGGGAAGGUGAUCAAAGGCUUAAGGACAGACAGGGGAGGAGAAUACACCUCACUAGAGUUCUCAGACUACUGCAAGGAGCACGGAAUCAGACGCCAACUGACCACAUCCUACACUCCUCAACAGAACGGCAUAGCCGAGAGAAAGAACCGCACUGUCAUGAACAUGGUGAGGUCAAUGUUUUCUAACAAGAAGAUGCCAAAGAUCUUAUGGCCCAAGGCUGUGAAGUGGACUUUCUAUGUUCUCAACAGGUGCCCCACUAUAGCCGUGAAAAACGUCACACCACAAGAGGCAUGGAGCGGGAUGAAGCCGAGUGUGGAACACUUCAGAGUCUGGGGAUGCAUUGCACAUGUCCACAUUCCUGAUCAGAAACGAAGCAAGCUCGAUGAUAAGAGCACACCAUGUGUUCUACUUGGAUACUCUGAAGAAUCCAAAGCCUACAGACUGUACAAUCCAAAGACUAAGAAGAUGAUGACAAGUCGAGAUGUGGUGUUUGAGGAAACAAAAGAAUGGGAUUGGAACGAGGAUCAAGAUCAUCUCACGGAAGGAUCGUUAACAUGGAAUGGAGAUGAUGUGGAUUGGGAAGAAAGUGAUGAAGAAGACAACAAUGGAGAGGUGGAAGAUAACAACAACGAGACUGAGCAGCCUGUAGAAGACGCAGUAGAGAAUCAAGAAGAACAUACUGCAGAGAUCAGGGAGGGCAGAGCCAGAAGACCUCCAAGCUACUUAAAAGACUAUGUGCACUGCAUUGAAACCAUUGAUAAUGAAGAAGAAGUGGUCAACAUGGUGGAGAUAAAUGCAACAGAUCCUGUAAACUUUGAGGAAGCAGAAAAAAACUUGAAGUGGAGAGAUGCGAUGACAGAAGAGAUAAACUCCAUUGAGAAGAAUCAGACGUGGGAGCUGUGCACGUUACCUAAUGGAGCCAAGUGCAUAGGCGUGAAGUGGAUUUACAAAACCAAGCUGAAAGAGCUCGGAGAAAUUAUUAAGCAUAAGGCGAGGCUGGUAGCUAAGGGAUAUUCUCAGGAGCUUGGAAUCGAUUACACUGAAGUAUAUGCUCCCGUUGCACGCAUGGACACCAUUAGAACCAUUCUAGCCACUGCAGCUCAGAAGUCAUGGAUCGUGUACCAGCUCGACGUCAAGUCAGCAUUUCUUCACGGAAUCCUCACUGAAGAUGUCUUCAUACAACAACCUAAAGGGUACGUAGUGGAGGGACAUGAAGACAGCGUCUACAAGCUUCACAAGGCAUUGUAUGGUCUGAAGCAAGCUCCAAGGGCCUGGUUUAGUCGCAUUGAAGAAUACUUUCUGAAAGCUGGCUUCGCAAAGUCACAGAACGAGGAGACAUUGUUUCUCAAGGUCGACAAUCAAGGUAAUAUCCUGAUUGUGAGUGUGUACGUUGAUGACCUUAUUUACACAGGAAGCAGUCUUGAGAUGAUGAUGGAGUUCAAGAAGUCUAUGCAAGACGAGUUCGACAUGACUGAUCUUGGGAGGAUGAGGUAUUUCUUGGGCAUUGAGGUGCAUCAGAAGGUGAAUGGAAUUCACAUAUCUCAAGCCAAGUACGCUCAGGAGAUUCUCAAACGGUUCGACAUGGAGGAUUGCAAUUCAGUUACAAAUCCUAUGGUGCCUGGAGAGAAGCUUGACAUGGAUGCUGAAGGAGAAAGAAUAGACGAGACACUCUAUAAGCAAAUGAUUGGGAGUCUCAUGUACAUUACAACCACACGACCUGACCUGCAAUUCUCGGUGAACUUACUCAGUCGCUUCAUGUCAAAACCUACAAGACUCCACGCACAAGCUGUGAAGAAGGUACUGAGGUACUUAAAGGGGACAACAGACUUUGGUAUUUGGUACAAUGGAGGAGGAACAGGGG
rnacentral:lncRNA from 1 species